CCUACGGGGGGCUGCAGUGAGGAAUAUUGGUCAAUGGACGAGAGUCUGAACCAGCCAAGUAGCGUGAAGGAUGACUGCCCUAUGGGUUGUAAACUUCUUUUAUAAAGGAAUAAAACGAGGCACGUGUGCCUUUUUGCAUGUACUUUAUGAAUAAGGAUCGGCUAACUCCGUGCCAGCAGCCGCGGUAAUACGGAGGAUCCGAGCGUUAUCCGGAUUUAUUGGGUUUAAAGGGAGCGUAGAUGGGUUGUUAAGUCAGUUGUGAAAGUUUGCGGCUCAACCGUAAAAUUGCAAUUGAUACUGGCAGUCUUGAGUACAGUUGAGGUAGGCGGAAUUCGUGGUGUAGCGGUGAAAUGCUUAGAUAUCACGAAGAACCCCGAUUGCGAAGGCAGCUUACCAAACUGUGACUGACAUUGAUGCUCGAAAGUGUGGGUAUCAAACAGGAUUAGAUACCCCGGUAGUC
rnacentral:rRNA from 1 species